GACGGAGGGGACUAGCGUUGUUCGGAAUUACUGGGCGUAAAGCGCACGUAGGCGGAUUUGUAAGUCAGGGGUGAAAUCCCGGGGCUCAACCUCGGAACUGCCUUUGAUACUGCAAAUCUCGAGUCCGGAAGAGGUGAGUGGAAUUCCUAGUGUAGAGGUGAAAUUCGUAGAUAUUAGGAAGAACACCAGUGGCGAAGGCGGCUCACUGGUCCGGUACUGACGCUGAGGUGCGAAAGCGUGGGGAGCGAACAGG
rnacentral:rRNA from 1 species